CGUGAGUAAUCCUGGGGAUAUUAAUCCAACCGAGGCUAUAUUUAUCUUCAUUUCUUCAGCUGAGAGCGCAUCUCUAUUUCUUCUCCAGGCGUCAGGGGGUAUCGGGUACCAGCAGCAUGGCAGUCUUUCAGAGCCUAAGGGGAAAGGAUGCCUCUACUCUGUGGUUCCUCCUGGAGUCCGUGGCUCCAUCCUCCAUGGGCCCUGCAACCCCCAAAGGCACAGAGGACCAGAACUCCAGGCAAUGCCGAGCCUUACAAGCUGUCCAGGCAACGUGACAGAUGAGGAGACCGAGGCUUAGGGAAGCUGUGUGGCUUGUCCAAAACUAGUUAAGGAUGGAACUGGAGUGACUGUCAUGGGACUCCUGCUUGAUUUUAUGAAAGGGCGACAUUCCAUUUUGCACCUGCUAAGGCAGCAUAUCCCUUCCAUUCUCAAAAGGUGAGCAAUUAUAUGCUGACCCUACUUCAGGAGACUACAUCUGUAAAGGGAGGCAGAAACUAGGUCUAGAAGUCAUAUCUACAGUGGAAGUAGAGCCAGCAAAGUGUCAGGAUUCAAAAUAGCUCCAAAACCUCUCUCCACCCCCUCCAAGCUUUCUCCCUGAAGAUAGCUCUGCCUCUUUCAUCUCUCAACUCCAUCAACCUCUGUCCCUAAUCAGUCCUCUUCAUAU
rnacentral:lncRNA from 1 species